rnacentral:rRNA from 1 species
AUUGAACGCUGGCGGCAGGCCUAACACAUGCAAGUCGAGCGGUAGAGAGAAGCUUGCUUCUCUUGAGAGCGGCGGACGGGUGAGUAAUGCCUAGGAAUCUGCCUGGUAGUGGGGGAUAACGUUCGGAAACGGACGCUAAUACCGCAUACGUCCUACGGGAGAAAGCAGGGGACCUUCGGGCCUUGCGCUAUCAGAUGAGCCUAGGUCGGAUUAGCUAGUUGGUGRGGUAAUGGCUCACCAAGGCGACGAUCCGUAACUGGUCUGAGAGGAUGAUCAGUCACACUGGAACUGAGACACGGUCCAGACUCCUACGGGAGGCAGCAGUGGGGAAUAUUGGACAAUGGGCGAAAGCCUGAUCCAGCCAUGCCGCGUGUGUGAAGAAGGUCUUCGGAUUGUAAAGCACUUUAAGUUGGGAGGAAGGGUUGUAGAUUAAUACUCUGCAAUUUGACGUACC